GCGUUUAAAACCGACUUGGACACUGUCUUCGUUUCCAUUGUUCUUCCUUGCACUCGCUUUGCGAAAUACUAAUUUUCUCCAGUUGUAUUUGCUUUGUUUAUCUUCUAUGAGACUACUUUUAGACGAUGAAAUUUUCAUAUUUAGAAUUUCGACUGUCUUUAAGAACUAGUAGGAUCGAAAUAACAAAUGUUUUAAUCAUGUGUAAGCAAGGUGGUUAGAUUCGUAUCAUUUCUCGUAUCUACGACACUGUCGAAGAUGAUAUUGCUGCAAGGGUAACGUUAGAUCUGGGUCAUCAGAAGUAUUUCACACGUCACAAUUAAACGUGGAACAUCAUCGAUUUAUGAUGAUUUAUCAUUUAUGAUCCUGCGUUAUCGAAAUAUUUGGAAGCUUCGAUAAAAAUAUGUGAUUAAUGAAGAAUACUGGACAACAAACCAAUGUUUCGAUAACAUGUAUCAAAGAAGACGUAUUUCCAAAUAUUUGGUAGUAACAGAAAUAUACAGUUGACUGGACAGUUUCGCUAGUAUUUAGUGGCAUAAAUCAUGCACCUCGAGAAAUGUCUUGUUAGGACAGUCCUUUUCGAUACUCGUCAAGCCAGAAAACGUCGCUGACAUAAUUAUUAAACACAGAUUUAUUCGUUCUACGUUUUGUAGAAUCCGUGGCCAGUCUCGUAUACGAUCGCUACAACUGUCGAAAGUUUCAGAAGCAGGAAAAAGAAAAAAGGAAGAAAGCAGCGCGAUAAGGAGCUGAGCAGGGUAUCCGGGACCCAAUAAGGUCAAAGAUUUCUGGAGAAAUGAAUACAGCAUACUUUCUAUGAAUGAAUCGCUACUCUCAUUUUAUACGACUUCUUUGAAUCAUUCUUGGUUCCGCCAAUUAAACAACCAUCAAUUUGACAACAACUAACCAGAAGAUUUAAUGGGAACAUAUGGGUAUACUCGCGUUGGCAGAUAAUUCCGGUCGAAGUUGACUGACAUAUGCAAGCAUGUCGCGCGCCGUCAAUAUUCGAGCUUUCGUCUCGUUCAAUAGCCGGAUUCGUGGAAGAACUCGCGUGAAGAAAAGAAGUUCCGUGUUUGGCUGGCGUCAAAACGCUUGCCAGUCAUCGCUUGUGUACAAAGUUAUAUCACGCUUUGAAAUUCUGUCGCAGAUAAGAUGCGGACAGCCUCGUUAACUGCGAAUUCUAACGUUACAUGAAGUUACUGAAAGUUUGGAGGAAGGUAUUAAACACAAUGAACAAAUUCUGUGGAAUUGCGUGCGCGUGAACAAUUUCUCACCUAGUACGAUGGGAUCCAUCAGGAAGAGCAGCCUUGCAGCCGUCGGCUAUACGCAACGCGAGUACUCCAGCUCUUUCGCGGAUCUUUUCCAGUUUGAUCCAACUCUUCUCCGCUUCAAUUAUACCAUUCGAAACAAACUCUUCGAUUUAGGAAAAGUAUCAAUGAUACCACUUCACAGCUUCAAUACGGGCAAAUCGAGGCAAUGACCAAUCACAGUGGUUCAUUCAGAGUGACACGUGAAGCAGGUGUUCUCCAGGAGAAUACUGGAAGAAUA